GCAGCCCCAUCAGCAAACAAGUUUCACUUCAAACCUGUACUUCUAAAUGUGACAACGCCGGCAGCAUGAGUGUGGCAACCUGGGCCAGAGGCGCGAGUGGCACAGACAGUGCGGCUGAGUGGUGCACUGAGCUGGCAGGCGGCAGCUGCAGAGACCAGUAGUUGGCCGCAAGGUGGUCACAAACACUACGUGGGCUGCGGGUUCAAGUUCUCUGGCCAGGAAGUCGCUGGCUGCACCACUACGCAGGGAUCAACAGCGAGGAGGUCACACACUGGGCGAGUGCUCCAGCGGCAACAAGCGGAGCGCCCACACGACGCCACGUGGAGGUGAACAAGAGAAGAGCGAGUCAGCAUUCCCGGCUGCCCGGUGCAAGAUCACCACAGCUUAAGUUUGUAAGACAUGGUGCUACAAGGUUUUCCUAGAACAUUGCGAGUCAUCCAGGCUUAUGACAUCAGCAAACAUCAAGAGUUUGUGCACCAGGCAUCGACGCGCAGACCUGCCAUUGCCCAUCACGAGUCGACACUGUGGGUCUUCGUGCCAGGCACCGACGCACUGACCUGGUCGUUAAACAUUGGUAGCUGACAUUGUGAGUCUACAUAACCAGAGAUCAAUGCCAGGACUUUUGUUAGGCGACCUACGAGGGCCAUUCAGCAGUGAAAAUUGGAGGAGCAUCCAGAACUGUACCGCAAUGAAACAAGUAACGUAUAGCUCGUAGUCAAGUGUCAUGAUAAUUGUUUGAAUAUCUAUAUAAAGAAAAGUGUCAAUGUUCGUUCCUUCAAAUUUUUAAAUCUCCAAAAGUUCUUCACCAAUUGCUUUGAAAUUUUGACGCAAAUUUGCAUUUGAAUACUGACGUGUUUUUAUACACCUAUGUAAC